AGAGGGUGACCGGCCACACUGGGACUGAGACACGGCCCAGACUCCUACGGGAGGCAGCAGUGGGGAAUAUCGCACAAUGGGCGCAAGCCUGAUGCAGCAACGCCGCGUGAGGGACGACGGCCUUCGGGUUGUAAACCUCUUUUAGUAGGGAAGAAGCGAAAGUGACGGUACCUGCAGAAAAAGCACCGGCUAACUACGUGCCAGCAGCCGCGGUAAUACGUAGGGUGCAAGCGUUGUCCGGAAUUAUUGGGCGUAAAGAGCUCGUAGGCGGUCUGUCGCGUCUGCUGUGAAAACCCGAGGCUCAACCUCGGGCCUACAGUGGGUACGGGCAGACUAGAGUGCGGUAGGGGAGAUUGGAAUUCCCGGUGUAGCGGUGGAAUGCGCAGAUAUCAGGAGGAACACCGAUGGCGAAGGCAGAUCUCUGGGCCGUAACUGACGCUGAGGAGCGAAAGCGUGGGGAGCGAACAGGAUUAGAUACCCUGGUAGUCCACGCCGUAAACGUUGGGCGCUAGAUGUGGGGACCAUUCCACGGUUUCCGUGUCGCAGCUAACGCAUUAAGCGCCCCGCCUGGGGAGUA
rnacentral:rRNA from 1 species